rnacentral:misc_RNA from 1 species
AUGAAACAUGAGUACUAGGUGGUUGCUGCUGGUCUCGCAAGAGACAUCGUGCACGCCCCUAUCUCCUCUUUCAUUCAUCUACCCCUAUCUGUGCACCCUAUGUGGGCUGAGACAUCUCGGCUCUCGCAUUUUUUUAACACACCUGUAAAUCUUCAAUGAAUGUAACAUUCGAGCUUUGUCUCGAUAUAAUCUAAUA